GGUUUCUUUGUUUCUAUCAUCCUUCACAUCUCUUCAAAUGAGGCAUCAUUAUCGCUCCCAUCAUCAUCUUCUUCUCCGUCACCAGCUCCCAAGAUUAAUUGAACGGUUCGGAGACGACUCACCACACGUACACCCAGCCCAACCAACCAGACAACUGAGCUAAGCUCUCUCUCAAACUCAUCCAUAACUCAUAUUGUGUAUUGUUAGGUAGUAAAAAGUCAAAACCUAGCCAAGUAGAGGAAAACAUGAACUCAUCACCAAAUCCUCCCCAGCCGCCUCCGUCGCAGUCUUCCACAUCUUCCACGCCACGGAUGGCUCCAACAAGAAACCUUACACCAUUACCAAGUCUAGUGAGAGCUGGACUGAAGAAGAACACGACAAGUUCUUCGAAGCUCCUCAACUAUAACUUCUUCUUCUUCUUCUUCUUAUAUAUAUAUAUAUAUUAAAGAUGAAAAUUUUCGUUUUUUUUUUCUUUUUUAGAAAAUAAAGCGAAUUACGAAUACUCCAAACCAUGAGUUACUGUUUUUUUCGUUUUCCAAGUUUCCAUCUCCUUCUUUAGUGGGGGAAGAUUUCCUUUUUUUUCAUGUUGUUUCUUAAUUUCAAUUCUGUUUUGGCUAGUUUAAAACUUAGAAAAUCUUGACUGUCUUUUCUUGUUUCAACUGCAAAGUGGAUUCUUUUAAUGAUGUAAAUUUGGUCUUCAAUUCAAGUUAUUUUGGAGCUUAAUUUUGGCUGAAGUUGGUACAAUAAUUUAACUAAUCAUAAUUUUUACAGCUUCCUUAUCAACUCCUGUAUUGAACCUUGUACGAGAAUGCCAAUGGCAAUGCAUUUGGAUCCUUUUUUUCUUGUUUAGGAUACCAUUAGCAGCUUCUGCCUUGUUCCUCUUUAUGUCUAUUACCAAUUUGAGCUAAUACCGUGGUUUCAAUUAAUCUUGGGAGCUGGUGCCGGAGAAGAAGAUGACGAUGGGGGCGACGGUAGUUGUUUCAGUUGAAGAGAUGAUGAAACAAAGAAACUAAAGAUCAGUCCCUUGACCCACUAUUGACCCACUAAGGGAAUGACAUCUGUACUGGGGUUGGGAAAAUCAUUCUUUGAGUCCCCAUACUUUUCUGUUUUAUUUUAAUUUGAUCAUUUAUGUUCUGUUUUUGUUUCUUUAAAUUUAUACUUUAAAUUUUAUCACAUUUUCAAUUUGGUCCCCCUUAGUAAUUGACAACCACUUUAAAUGUGACACAUGUGCACUUGUUGGGAUAAUCUCCCUCUGAAUCCCUAUAUUUUUCUAUCUAUUUUUAAUUUAAUCCUUUAUUUUUGGAUUCUUCGCAAUUUAUUCUUUAAAUUCUAUCACAGUUUUAAUUAAGUCUUUUAUAUAAUUUCACACAUUUACUUUUAGUUUUCUUAAUUAUUUUUAGCAUUUUCAAUUUUAUUAUUUACAUUUUGCCUUUUGAAUCAUGUGAUUUUUAUUUUCAUCUUUGAUUUAUUAUUUUCAUUUUAUUAUUAAAUAUGGUAUUAAUCACAUCAUGAUUGUUAUUGUUAUUAUCAUUAUCAUCAAUUUGUGUCGCUAUUAUUAUUAUAGUUGCAUUAUUACUAUUUGAUUAUCAUGAUCUACCAUAAUUUUGCUCGUAUAUUUUUAUUUUACGAUACUCAUUUCAAAUUUUAUCUAUGUUUUAUUUAUUUUUAUGUAGUUAUUUUAUUUUAUUAUAAUUAUUACCAUGUUAACCAUUAUGCUUAGAUAUAUUUAUUCUGUAACAGCCUGUUUUUCAAUGGUGUCAAAAACAGUGGCUUUGGGGCCACCAAAUUCAACGAUUAAGUUUGUAAAUAUUAUGUUUAAUAUUUACGAGUUAAUUGUAAUUUUAAAAAGGUUUUUUGAUAUAGUGAUUUUUGUUGUAUAAAUGAUUUAUUAAGUUCAAGUGGUUUUAGAAAAUGAGGUAUCGGGACCUCGUUUCUAUAAACUGAGCUGUAAAUAUUUUUAUAAAUAUUUACAAAGUGUCAUUAAGGUGGUAUUAAAGUUUCGUUGAAAAAUUUUAACGUUUCAAUAGUUAAUUAAUUAGAAAGGACUAAAUCGCGUAAAGUGCAAAAGUUGUGUUUUAUUAGCUAAAGGUAUUAUAUAGCUAUAGAUAUUUAAAGUGGAAGUCCUUAUCUGAUAAUUAGACCAUUGAAGGUGAUAGUGGAUGUGCAUAGCUUGACAAUUGUGUAAUUUUUAAAGUUAGGUAAGAGUAAUUUGGUAAUUAAGUAAUAAAUGAUAAAUUAAAUAAAACAAACAAAGUUGUCAUCUUUCAUUCUCUCUUUCAACCGAAAAUACCAGAAAAAAGAAGCCAUGGAAGCUUGAAAAUUUUGGCUAAUUAUAUCCCCUACAUGUAAGUGAAUUUUGAGUUCGUUUUUAAUGGUUUUUAUGUUUUUGAGAUCGUUGCAACUAGGUCCAGCUAGCCCGUACCUUCGAUUUUGAAACUGUUAAAGAUUUUGAAUGUUUCCAUUGAUGAAUCUUUUGAUUUUUUAUGUUAGAUGAUGAAUUUGGAAUGUUUAUUUAUAUUUAAAAGUAUUUUCUUAAGUGAUUUUAAUGAAUUUUUGAGUAGGGACUAAUUUGUUAAAUUAAUAAAAGUACAAGGAUUUAAUGUGAAAUUUUUGCAUAAAUGGGCUAUUUUGGAUACCAUGAAUAUUUCGCUAAGCUCAAUUCUGGGUAAACAAAAUGGUUAAUUUGCAUGUUUUGGGUUCAAGGACUAAAUUGAAUAAAAGUAAAACUUUAGGGGUAAUUUUGUAAAAUGUAAAAAUGAACAAAUUGUAUGAAAUGAAUUGUUUUAUUGUCUAAAUUAAUAUAUUUAAUGAAAUCAUUAAUUUAGAUCAAGAUCGGGUGGAAAAUCAAGGAAAAUGAAAAUUACUAAAAUGUCUUUAAACUUUGGUAUUUCUGCAAUUUAGCCAGGUAAGUUUGUAUGAACUAUACUAUGUAUAUUGUUGAUUAAAUUGAAUGUUAUUAUAUGAAUUUUAUUGAAUAUGUUAUUAUACAAUUAGCUUAUAAUGAAACGAGGAAAAUUCAAUGACGCACGACGAUAAUCGAGUCCCGUUUGAACCUUAGGAAUAUUUAGGAUACAAAUGACGUCACUAAGAGUUACUGUGUUGCGGGUGCUGGUCUUGUACGUCCUACCGGUGGCUAAGUUUUUGGCAUGUGUUACGGUUACUUGACAGCUUGUGUGAACAGCACUGUGUAGCUACGUCCUAACUGACAGCUUGUGUGAGUAGACCCAUAUAUGGCUCGAAAGAGAGCAUUGAUAUGAGAUAUGUGAUAGUAUUGGCUUCGACCACAUGUUGGCACUUAGUGUGCAAGAUUUUUGUGUAUCUGAUAUUAUUCUAGUGGUUCAAUAGGAAAUAUUCUGUUACGAGACGAUAUAAGUUUGAUACGAACUAAUACAAGUAUAUACAUGAAAUACAUCAAAAUGAUGGACAUGAUUUUGAAAUACAUAUACAUGAUAUAUGUAUAUGAAUAUCUUUGAUGUGUUGUUACAUGGUAAUUAUGAAAGUUGAGACGAGUAAUAAACUCAAGUGUGACAUGUUGAGAAAAUAAGGUUAUCAAUGUCAAAAUUAUAUGAAAUGUGUUCAAGUAUGUUAACAUGUGUUCUUGUUUGAUGCUUAGGCAAGUGCCAAGUUGUUGGUUGAACGGUAUUCUAUUUACUUAUAAGUUGCAUUGGAAUGGUAAGGGCUCAAAUGAGAAUAUGCUUGUACUCAUAAAAAAGUGGUAAGGUUUAAAUUAUACAAUUUCUUAUGAAAUGGCUUAUCAUAUGAUUAAUUCAAAAAAGGGUUAUGUUUAAAUGUACUAGCUUGUGGCUAUGGUUGAAUGAUAUGCUUAUGUCUGGUGUGUUAUGCAUAUGGAAUGGGUGUGGAAAGUAAUGAAAUGCAAAAGAAAAUAAAUGAAUUUGGAAGAGUUUAAAGUUGUUUAAAAUCAUACUAUGCUAGAGAUAAUAUGUAUAAGUGAUACUGUGGAUUUACUCAUUUUGUGAGUUGUUGAAUUUGGUUCCAUGAAUCAUGUGGUAUCGGUAUAUGAUUAUUCUUUAUAUGUAUAAAUUUCAUGUUGGAAAUGGAUUGAUCUGAUUAAAGUUUAUAUGAACUUACUAAGCAGUAAUUGCUUUCGUAGUUAUUUUUCUCUACUUUACAGAUUAUCGAAGCUCGAUUGGGUUGAAAGCUCGUCGAAGAUUUAUCACACUAUCCAGCGAUUAUAUCGGUAGAUUUUGAUGUCUUGGUUAAGGUUAUAAUGGCAUGUAUAGGUAUUUUGGCUAAUGUUGACAUAUGUGUUUUGGUUGUUGAUAUGGUCAUUUGGGUUGGCUUGACUUAUGGCAUUUUGGUAGUGUUAUGAAUUUAGUUUUGUUAGCCUUAAAAUGGUGAAUAGUUGUUUUGCUAUGUUUCAAUUAUGGAAGAUAAAAUGAAAGGCUAAAUAUACAUAUUGUAAUGUCUUAUGGCAUAUGUAAACGUGGUGAUUGGUACUUUUUUAUGAAGGACUUAUAUGACUAUUGAUGCUA